CCUACGGGUGGCUGCAGUGAGGAAUAUUGGUCAAUGGCCGGAAGGCUGAACCAGCGAAGUCGCGUGAGGGACGACUGCCCUAUGGGUUGUAAACCUCUUUUAUAAGGGAAGAAUAAAUUCUACGUGUAGCAUGAUGCCUGUACCUUAUGAAUAAGCAUAGGCUAACUCCGUGCCAGCAGCCGCGGUAAUACGGAGGAGUCGAGCGUUGUCCGGAUUUAUGGGGGUAAAAGGGUGCGUUGGCGGUUUUUUAAGUUAGUGGUUAAACGUCGGGGCUUCACCUUGAUUUGCCAUUAAUACUGUAAGACUCGAGUUCAGACGAGGUAGGCGGAAUAAGUUAAGUAGCGGUGAAAUGCUUAGAUAUAACUUAGAACUCCGAUAGCGAAGGCAGCUUACCAGACUGCGACUGACGCUGAAGCACGAGAGCGUGGGUAGCGAACAGGAUUAGAUACCCGGGUAGUC
rnacentral:rRNA from 1 species